rnacentral:rRNA from 1 species
UACGGGGGGUGCGAGCGUUGUCCGGAAUUACUGGGCGUAAAGGGCGCGUAGGCGGCCUGCUAAGUCGAACGUGAAAUCCCUGGGCUCAACCCAGGAACUGCGUCCGAUACUGGUUGGCUUGAAUCCGGGAGAGGGAUGUGGAAUUCCAGGUGUAGCGGUGAAAUGCGCAGAUAUCGGGAGGAACACCUAUGGCGAAGGCAGCUCGCUGGGACGUUACUGACGCUGAGACGCGAAAGCGUGGGGAGCAAACAGG